GGGCGCUCGUUGAAGGGCUUCUUCAAGUAGAUAAUAUACUAUACUAUUAUCUACUUGAAGAAGCCCUUGAGGCGAAACACGUUUAGAU